AACCCAUGCUAAGGACAUUUCCGCAGGAGAUCCUUAAACCUAUCCCAUGUCUCAAAAAGAAACUCCAAUUCCGUUUGCUCAAAAGAGGAUAUUUUAUUUUUGAGCUU